UACGGGGGGGGUAAGCGUUGUUCGGAAUUACUGGGCGUAAGGGCUCGUAGGCGGCCAACUAAGUCAGACGUGAAAUCCCUCAGCUUAACUGGGGAACUGCGUCUGAUACUGGAUGGCUUGGAUCCGGGAGAGGGAUGCGGAAUUCCAGGUGUAGCGGUGAAAUGCGUAGAUAUCUGGAGGAACACCGGUGGCGAAGGCGGCAUCCUGGACCAUUACUGACGCUGAGGCUCGAAAGCUAGGGGAGCAAACAGG
rnacentral:rRNA from 1 species